CAUAAAGUAUGUCGUAGUCCGGAUUGGAGUCUGCAACUCGACUCCAUGAAGUCGGAAUCGCUAGUAAUCGUGGAUCAGAAUGCCACGGUGAAUACGUUCCCGGGCCUUGUACACACCGCCCGUCACACCAUGGGAGUGGGUUGCAAAAGAAGUAGGUAGCUUAACCUUCGGGAGGGCGCUUACCACUUUGUGAUUCAUGACUGGGGUGAAGUCGUAACAAGGUAACCGUAGGGGAACCUGCGGUUGGAUCACCUCCUUA
rnacentral:rRNA from 1 species